CCCCUGAUAGCUCAGUUGGCAGAGCGGCAGACUGUAAUGGAUACGCACUCAUCUGUAGGUCCUCGGUUCAAUUCCGAGUCAGGGGA
rnacentral:tRNA from 1 species